GGAGUCGGCCAGACAGUCGCGUCAUUGGAAACAAUGCCGAGGAAAGUCCGGGCUCCACAGGGCACGGUGCCAGGUAACGCCUGGGCGGCGCGAGCCGACGGAAAGUGCAACAGAAAGAUACCGCCUAAGACUGCUUCGGCAGGACGGCAAGGGUGAAAUGGUGCGGUAAGAGCGCACCGCGAGUCCGGCAACGGACCGGCACGGCAAACCCCACCGGGAGCAAGACCAAAUAGGGAGGCUAUGCUGCGGCCCGCAGUGUCUCCGGGUAGGUUGCUUGAGCGUAAUGGUGACGUUGCGCCUAGAGGAAUGACUGUCCACGACAGAACCCGGCUUACCGGCCGGCUCCGCCG
rnacentral:RNase_P_RNA from 2 species